rnacentral:lncRNA from 1 species
CUUGCAAAGGAUAUGUACAGCAAGUAGUGGAACUUGCAAUUUUUUUGAAAGACGGUUUUUGGCUUACGUUCUCAUCAUGUCUAUUGUUAACAAUGAUUAUUAUAUAUUUUUAUUACUGGAAACUUAUCUUAAUCAUUAACUAAAAGCCAAAACACAUAACUGUUGUUUGGAAUCAUAUAUAAAUGUAUAAAAAAAAAUUUAGGCUGGAGGGGGGAUUUGACAUCUCCCUCAGCAAAUAUGAAGACUGAUGCAUCUUGUAAUACUACUACUCAAAUAAGGUCAGAGGGGGUAACCGCUACUCACUUCUUCAAAAAUAAAUACUCUGAUGCAUCUUGUAAUACUACUACUGUAAUAUGGUCAGAGGGGGAGGAAUACGCUCUUUUCUCGUGUCUUUGUGUACACCACUACUUUUUGUUUUAAAAAUGUAAAAAAAAAUUAUUCAUUUUA